AAACACCACUACUGCAGAACAGUAGCCAGACCCAGGAAGGUGUGGAGAAGGCCCAGAAGACCAUGUGAUUUGAUCACUUGUGAUUUGAUCAGCUGUGGACCUUGCCGGACUCUAACUCCUGUGCUCAGAAGUUCACGACAAGGUGGAGACAGGGUUCACAGCAGCAUUAUUUAUAAUAGCGUGGACACAGAAGCAGCUUAAACGUCAAUAAAUACAUGAUAGGGUCAGGAAGACUGUAUUUCCACACCAAGGAGUGUCAAAGAGUCGGAAGAAAGGUGAAAUGCAGCAUUUCUAACAAAAUGGAGACAAUUACAUGCAGCGAGAUGCUAUGUCCACAGGGUUAAAAAAGUGAAUGAUCACAAAAAGGUAUAGGUGGGAGGACCUCCUCAUCCUGUCUUAGGAAAAGUGCAGGCAUGUCCUGAAGCUAGUUCACUGGAGCUACAGAACCUCAUCGGCAUUAAACGACUGAAGCACAGGUGGACAAUUUCUGGGAGAAUGCUGCCAUCCAGUGGCAUAAUUGAGAAGUGCACUUAUAUAUGAUUUCCUGUUUCUAUCCUGAAAAUGCUUGUUUUAUACAUUGAGUGCCAACUGCUAUAGCAAGUGUCAGACACUCUGGGAAGUACCCGGGGCACAGACCAGAGGAGGGGUGUGGAGCUGGGCCUUGGUGGAGAAUCACUGGUCCUCACAAACCAACCUAGUCACAUCCUAGAAGUGAGCAGGUUAACAAAAGUCAACAACUCCACAAUGGGAUGAGCCUUCCCACAGAGAAGACUCCUGCAGGGCAAUCUCUGUCCCUUCAGGGGCAGCUGCCUCCUGCCCUCCUGGGCCCAUCGGGGGCUUCUCACUGCCAACCUGCCACUUUGCAAGCAGCAGAGCAGCUCCUCCCGAGGCGGCUGCUGGGGCCACACAGGCCCCUCUCAGCAAACCAGUCCCUUUGGGGGCAGCCCUUUCUGCCUGCUGUGUCUGUGCGGUGUCCUUGUUCUCGCUCCCUUUAUAAUAAACUUGCCCUUCUGGAUCCAACUAAAACUUCUGUCUCGAGAAAC